GAAGGCUCUUUUCUACCAUUUAUUUUAUCAAAUAAUUAAUUCUCGACAUGAGGAAGUGGAGCGCCAAGAGUUGACACCUCUUGGGACUCCUUGCCAUCCCUUCAUUCCCUAUUUAAAUGGGACACCCCUUAUGGGAUAAGGGCUAAAAAAUUUGAGGCUUACGCAUGUGAUAAGAUAGAAAAAAGCCAAAAAAAAAAGAGAAAAAAGAUAAGAAAAUUGAGAAGUAAAAAAUAGAAAGAAGAGAGG
rnacentral:lncRNA from 1 species